rnacentral:lncRNA from 1 species
CCAGAACUAUUCCCAAGCCAUGCCAUGUAAUACUACCAAGUGGUCUGUGAAGCAGAGGGUCUUGAAGAGACAGAUUCCACGUCCCCUCUAAUUUGGAGUUGGGGCACUGCUUGGAAGUUGUAAGGACUCUGCCUUUUGAAGAAAUAUUAAUGAUUUAAAAAAAAACGUGCUCUGAGUAAAUUAGGACACUGAUAAAACAUUAUAGAAAGAAAAACUCAAAAGACUGACUAGGUAGCAAGUGUUGAGACAGUUCUCCCUAUCUCUACAAUGAUUUUAAACAAGUAGCUUGGAAGGACUACUUUGAGAGAAUAUAUCCAUCAAAGCCAUUUCAAGAGCUCCAGGAGGACCUUUUUCUGUAGUAACCUCCAGACACGAUCAAGAGCAGUGCUGAGUUACCUAGCUGGGUAAGAAUCUGGGUAAAAUUUGCCAAGUAGGGAGCAAGAGACGCUGGAGAGUCUGCACAGGCUGGCAGGGAGAGUGGCUACUGGUCAGGAGCCAAGAGCAGUAAACAUUACAGGUUUAAACAGUUCUCACUGUUCAGAACUGCAGGAAGACACUGAGAGUCAGGGUCAUUGAAUCUCGCUGCCGAGAGAAGCUGACACUGAGAAUCGAUCACUAAUUUGAGAAAUCACUACAACAGGGCUGCCACUGCCAGAGAGAGUUGUCAACUGGCUACUCUGGAAGCUUUAGGAGGAAACACUGCUGAAGUUCAGAUGGAAAAGGUACUGCUGAUGGAAAGAAUUGCAGGGAGCACCCAAGAGAAAGAGUGGAGACCCAUGGAACUCAUCCUUUCUGUCUUCUCAGCUCCAGGUUUUUAAAGAGCAACUAGUAAUGGGACAAAGAAAGGAGUGGAUGGCGUCUCCAUUGUCUGCUUGCCACUCACAGAGACAGUACAGGCUGUGAUAGUUCAGUACUGCUCAAUGGGAAGACAGAGCAAUCAUUUAUGUAUAAGGGUGCCUGGUCGAGCUGGGCAUCCAGAAAUUCUGGGAGUCAUUUGAAGCAUCCAUAGAGGUAGCAGUUAAAAUCCGACCAUCUGAGGGGUGCCUGGCUGGCUCAGUUGGUAGAACAUGCAAUUCUUGAUCUUGGGGGUGUGAGUUCAAGUCCCACGUUGGGUGAGGAGAUGACUUAAAAAGAAUAAAAUAAAAUAAAAUCCAACCAUAUGAUAUGCUGAGAGGAAUGCAGACUGGACGAGAGAAUUAUAGAGCAUUACAGUUUAAGAAAGACUUGCAUUGUUGUAAUAAUUUGUAUCUGACCAUGACUGAUACAACUACAUCCAUGGAACUCUGUAUGGAGAUCAAUAUAAGUAACACAUUAUAUAAGCAGGGAAAUGACCAGCACAGACCAUGGUGAGAGCCAUACUGUGAAGCAGGCCAUGAAUCAGUUACACAACUAAUAGACCCCAGCUGCCAUUUAGCAAUAGAAAACAAUCUCUGACAACAUCCUAAAAGCUAUUAGGAUUUUCCCAGCUUUAGAUAAAUUUACCACCAGUAAAGUAUCUUACACUUCUGAAGAACUGUAAUUUAGUACAGUGACUGGAACUUGAUAUGUCCCAUUGGUUUCCCAGUUGAGGAAAAAAUGAAGAUGUUUAAAAUCAGCCUUGAUAUUACAAUUGUCAAAUAAUACUCUGUGAAAUGCUGUGGAGAGGAAGGUCAGGAAGCAGUCCAGCCGAAGAGAUUUUUAUUAAAACAAAAAGAAAAGAUGCAAAAUUUUCACUUUGACCGUGGUCUUUAAAAAGUCACAAAUAUUAUUACACAAAUUUGUACUGUAUUUUCUCCAAUAAAUAUUUAUUGUCUCAAAUUUAGAAAACAUUUAUGAGGGUGCAGAUGAAGUAACCACCUUAUUAUAAAAUAACUUAGAAAUGUAUUUUUCGAUGGCAAAAAUAUAAAGACUUAGAGCUGAAGGUAUCCUUAUAGUUUAUCUCAUCCAACAACUUAUCUCAUCCAUGAAUCCUUGCUCCCUCUCCCCAAGGCCCUAAAUGGACUAUGUCACCAAAUCCAAUGGACAAUACUGAGUGUUGACUUCUCAGACACAUUUGACAUUGUUGACUUCUUGACACUUCUUAAAAUACUCUUUUCUCUUUAUUUCUAGUAUGGAAUGGGUUUCCCCCUACUACUGACUGCUCCUCUUUAGAUUUCUUUGCAAGUUUAUCCUCUUUUUCCCAGCCAUAAAAUAGCGCAGCUUCUCAAGACUUGGUUCUCUUCUCUUUUCGUCCCACCGACUGUGUUGUUCAUUCCCACUGCUGUGAUUACAAUCCUUUUAAUUUGAUUCACAAAUUUUAUCUUUGCUCCGGAUUACUCCCUUGAGUUCCAAAUAAGUAUAAACAAAUCCCUGCUUAUAUCUCUUAUUUGAUCCUGUAAAGACACCUCAAGACCCAUAAUGUUUUCUUGCCCCCCCCACCCUCAGAUGUCAUCUAACAGUCCCUCUACCUGAACCCUGAGCACUUCAGAAUCACCCUAAAGCCCUCCUGUAUCAGAGCCUACUGAUGUACUUCUUAAGCAUUUUUCAAAUCUAUUCUCGUCUCUCCAUCUCCUGUGCCACCAGCCUAGUCAAGGCAGGCAACACCUCCCUCCUCUAUUAUUAUAUUAUUCAAAAUACCACAUCCACUCUCCAUACCUGCUUUUGCACCCUUCCAAUGACUUCUCUACUUUGGCAUCAGGAGAGUGAUCUUGUCAAAACACAAAUGUCAUCCUAACACUCCUUUUAAAGAAAAAAAAAUUAAGAGGGUCCCAGUGUUCUUGGGAUAAAAAACAAAAGUGAAAACAAAUACCAAAUAAUUCUUAACAUAGGCCUGUGAGAUCAUAUGAAGUCUCACGGCUGAUUGCAUUUCCCACCUCCCACCAUGCAGCCCCUCACUCUCCUUGCCCCCAUACUAGCUCCUUGCAGGUUCUUGAAUGCAUCAUGCUUGCUCCUACCUCCUUUACUUUGCCUCUGUUAUUUCCUCUGCACCUAGUUAAUCCUUUCUCAGCCUUCAGAUCUCAACUGUCACUUCUUUCCCUGACAUUUCAGACUUAGGCAGACCUAUACAUGAUGGGUCCACCUAGACCCCCCUCUCGCCACUACUUCAAUGUGUUCAUUACUAGGGUAAUUGGAACAUCUACUCAAUUUGUGUCUGUAUCCUCCACUAGAUUUGAAGUGCCAUGAGAGCAGGUAUCUCAUCCAAACUUAUUCAUCAUUUUAUUCUCAGGGCCUACACAAUGUCUGAUAUAUAUAUAUAUAUAUAUAUAUAUAUAUAUAUAUAUAUAUCUGAGGACAGGCAAUAAACAUUUGUUGAGUGAAUGAAAGAAUUCUUUCUUGCCCUUGAAUAUUCCCAGUGAGAAAGAAAUCACAGCCUCCUGAGUUCUAAGUCCAUUCAUCUUUUUUUCUUUUUUCUUUUUUCUUUUCCUUUUUGGAAACUUUGAUGGAAAAUUCAUCCCUGUAUUAGGCUUAAUCUAUCUCUGGGCAACUCACAAAUUUAUUCUUGCCUUUGUGAACUACAAAUUUAAUCCAUUUCAUUCUCCAUGGGAUAGUUUUUAUAAUAUAUGAAUUCAAAAUCAUGAUGAUUUUACUCUACCUUCUCGUCUUCAUUUUUUCCUCUGUGUUUCCUAUCCUCUUCAUGUUUUUUGAUACAUCCCUAUUAAGAUGAAUAAACACGUAAUUUUAGUAAACACAAUAAAAGCCUCAUUUUUACGUGGAAAAGCUUGUUUCAAUAUUGGGAGAUAGGAUUUUUGAUGGGUUUCCUAAACCCUGUCAGUAUCAAAAGUGUUUCAUAGAUUUAAGGAUAAUUUUGAAGCUAAUUCCAUUUUAGAAGAGAUAUUUUUUAUUUGAAUUCAGAAAACUUAGAUAUAUAAAUUAAAAUGUAGCCUCUAGGAAAAGCUGAAUCAACUGGCCAUAUCAACAUCUAUUUAAAUUAAACAUAUUCCACUUUUUAGGCUCUAGCAGUGAAAUGAGCAUUAUUGGAUAACCACAUGUUUUGGAAAAAUUCAGUGUGAUUGUUUUGGUUUAUAUGUAUUUUCUAUUACAAAAAUGGAGGGUUUUCAUUUACUGCCAUACAGCCUGUUCUGGUGCCUACUAGAGAUCAGGAUAUCAAUUCUCAAUAAAUGUUUGCUCAAGGGAGGAAUGCACAAUUUAUAAAUAGAAUGGCUUCUUAUCAGUGGAAACUUUGGUAUAUCUGGAGAACUGACCAGAGAAGAUAAGGACCAUCUUCUCAUUUAUGAAUACCAUUUAUAAACAACGUUUGAGGGGCGCCUGGGUGGCGCAGUCGGUUAAGCGUCCGACUUCAGCCAGGUCACGAUCUCGCGGUCCGUGAGUUCGAGCCCCGCGUCAGGCUCUGGGCUGAUGGCUCAGAGCCUGGAGCCUGUUUCCGAUUCUGUGUCUCCCCCGUUCAUGCUCUGUCUCUCUCUGUCCCAAAAAUAAAUAAAAAAAACGUUGAAAAAAAAAAUUUAAAGAACGUUUGAGAAAUAGUCAUAUUGGUAAUGAUUUACACAGUUCAUCUUCAAGUUGCUCCUCUGUUAUCAAUGCCAGAGAAUUCCAUUUCUCAAGUUAAAAAAAAAAAAUGCCACUGAAAACACAUCAAACUCUACCUGAAAAACUCCUUCUUUGCACCAAAACUUAUCCUAACCUCUAGGAGAAAUUCACUCCUUUACACUAUGAACUUAUUCCCAACAGAGAUUAGAAUUUGGCCAGAUCUAGAAAUUAUGUAUUUAAGAUUAAAACGUUCAAAUGGAAUUUUACAGGAUCACUCCUUUGCAUUUCUAAAAUAAUAACCCAAAUCAUAUACUUGUUUUUUUUUAAUGUUUAUUCAUUUAUUUUGAGAGAUUGCACACGUGUGAGUGGGGGAGGGGCAGGGAGAGAGGGAGAGAGAGAAUCCCAAACGGACUCCGCACUGUCAGCACAGAGUCCAACACGGGGCUCUAUCUCACAAACCAAGAGAUCAUGACCUGAGUCGAAACCAAGAGUGGGAUACUUAACCUACUGAGCCACCCAGGCGCCCCACCAAAUCAUAUACUUGUAAAAAAAAAUUUAAAGAGGAAAAUUUAGUUUUGCUGAUUCCACUCUCUCCCUUAACUGGCUCUCAAGUCUAAGCCCCUUUCUUACCCUACUCCCCACAUAGGAGACUUCGUACCAGAAAAAAAUUAGCAGAAAGAAGCAUUAGAAAAGAACUACUAUUUUUGCAUAUUUACUGUUUUGAUUUAAACUGGAGUUAAAAGUAUUCACCAUUUCUGAAAUUAUGGUACUCUUGAAUAGAGAAAAGGCUGGAAGAAAGACCUGGGGACAUGCUGACCUGAAAUAACAACUUCUCCUAAUGGUGCCCUAAGCAUCAACUUCUUAAAAAGAUAAACUUCAUUUAUCUCAAUUUUAAGUUCAUACUAUUUUGGAAAAUAAUUUUCUCCAAUAUCUUUUACUAUUUCCUAGAACCUUUAGGAACCAUAUGCAUUCAUCUUCUCAUGUACUCUGUAUCCUUUUUAAAAGAAUAUUAUUCAACACCUUUAAAACGCUGGGAAUGUAAGGAGGCUAGAUUUAGACUGAACAAGGAUUACUACUGCUUAGGCUAGUCAAAGCACAUCUGCCAUGUUCACUGAUGUCUGUUUAAAAAAAAAAAAAAAAACACCAAAAGCCUUUUAUGCUUUAGCUUAAACUGUGGUUAUCAUGGUCCUAAUCAUAGUGCUUAUAAUCAAGGCUUUUUUUCUCUCUCUAAUUUUCUCUUUCCUUCGGGAAAGCACCCUCACUUCAAGUCAAGUUCAUUCCACAAUCUCAUAUUUCAGAUGCCUUGCUUGGAGGACGUGUCAUGUUGUGUUGGAGAUGAGAAGAGGCGGGGCUCAUCAAUCAGCAGUU